rnacentral:rRNA from 1 species
UACAGAGAGUGCAAGCGUUAUUCGGAUUGAUUGGGCGUAAAAGGUAUGUAGGUGGUUUUUUAAAAGGAGUGCGAAAGACUAGAGUAUAAACUGUAGGUAGGCAUUUUAAGAUUAUUAAGCUAGGAGUUAGGGAAAGGUCGUUAGAAAUUCCGUUGUAGGGUUAAAAUUCCGCCAUAACGGAACGAAUACCGAAGGCGAAAGGCAUUCGUCCCGCCUUAACUGACGCUGAGGUACGAAAGCGUGGGGAGCAAACAGG